rnacentral:rRNA from 1 species
GACGAACGCUGGCGGCGUGCUUAACACAUGCAAGUCGAACGGUAAGGCCCUUCGGGGUACACGAGUGGCGAACGGGUGAGUAACACGUGGGUGAUCUGUCCUGCACUUCGGGAUAAGCCUGGGAAACUGGGUCUAAUACCGGAUAGGACCACUGCCUGCAUGGGGGGUGGUGGAAAGCUUUUGCGGUGUGGGAUGGGUCCGCGGCCUAUCAGCUUGUUGGUGGGGGGAUGGCCUACCAAGGCGACGACGGGUAGCCGGCCUGAGAGGGUGACCGGCCACACUGGGACUGAGAUACGGCCCAGACUCCUACGGGAGGCAGCAGUGGGGAAUAUUGCACAAUGGGCGCAAGCCUGAUGCAGCGACGCCGCGUGAGGGAUGACGGCCUUCGGGUUGUAAACCUCUUUCAGCACCGACGAAGCGCAAGUGACGGUAGGUGCAGAAGAAGGACCGGCCAACUACGUGCCAGCCGCCGCCGUAA